rnacentral:rRNA from 1 species
UGAACGCUAGCGGCAGGCCUAAUACAUGCAAGUCGAACGAGAUUAAGAGGCUUGCUUCUUAUGAAAGUGGCGCACGGGUGCGUAACGCGUAUGCAACCUACCUUAAUCAGGGGGAUAGCCCGAAGAAAUUCGGAUUAAGACCGCAUAAAAACACAGGAUAGCAUUAUCCAAUGUUCAAAUAUUUAUAGGAUUAAGAUGGGCAUGCGUGUCAUUAGCUAGUUGGCGGGGUAACGGCCCACCAAGGCGACGAUGACUAGGGGAUCUGAGAGGAUGACCCCCCACACUGGUACUGAGACACGGACCAGACUCCUACGGGAGGCAGCAGUAAGGAAUAGUGGUCAAUGGAGGGAACUCUGAACCAGCCAUGCCGCGUGCAGGAAGACAGCCCUCUGGGUCGUAAACUGCUUUUAUUCGGGAAUAAACCUUUCUACGUGUAGGAAGCUGAAUGUACCGAAGGAAUAAGGAUCGGCUAACUCCGUG